rnacentral:lncRNA from 1 species
CGUUGGCUCAGCUGUGCACCUUCCUCUUUGAAUGACCGCCCCCCCUUUUUUUUUGCAGAGUUCUAAACCCCACCCCCAUCGGACUGGAAGAACCUAAGAUGCCUGCCCAGUGUGUUUGAAGAUACUUCUCUAGGCUCUCGUCAAUUCCCUGGCAGAAACCACUCAAGAAAGGGUCAAAGCAGGAGGCUAAGCAGCCACUCCUCCCCAAAUCCCCAACGCUGCUGGGGUGGGGGUUGGCAGUCUCAGCGCCACACAAGCCCCCCUCCACCAAACUCACCUCCACUCCUUUUCUCACCCCCCUCCUUCAGUCCACUGUCCCUAACCCGGUGACAAUCCUCGCUGACAAGCCCCUUGCUCACCUUGACCUCCACCCUCAAGUCAACCACUUUUUAUUAAUGUGUGCAGGAGCUCUGGGCAACAUAAACCUGACCUCUGGAAGUAUGCCCAUCCCCCUCCUCUCAGUAUACUUUCCCCGCCCCCCACCCCAGCCACCUCUGGUAGAAGAACGUGAGAGACUCAAGUUAAUGGUUUCCUUGGGGACUUUCUGGGAACACUCAGCAGGUAUAUCCUGCCACCCUGUGUGCAUAACACUAGAAACAAACUUGCUUUUUCCUGUUUUUAUCGUCUGACUGGUUCCACAAUUUCUCAGACACCCCCAGACUGGGGGUGGGGGGUGCCCCCACACAUGGUAUUUCUCACCAUCUUAAUACAAACUGGAAUAUCAGGUGUGUAUUGGAAGAGACAUGGAUAGGGGUCAGCAGGGUGCAUCUCCAGUGUUAGGGAACUGACCAUUCCUAGGGCUAAAUUUCAGGUGUGUAAAAUGGGGCCAAUGGGGAGAUAGAAGGAGGGAGCCCCAAGCACCCAUGAGCAUUGAUUUUGGUGCUAGCGCUGUUGGGUACUAGCUGUUGGAGGGUGGGAGAUGGGUAAGGAUCAUUUGUGCAGAGCCAGCCAAGCCAGGUGAGAGAAGAUCCAUUUAUUAUCCUCCUUGUGCAGGACCUCAGAGGAAGAAACAAGCGUCUACUUGUUGUCACUACCUGUCACGUGUGGGGUGAAUUUACAGAAGUCCCCUCCCACUGCAGGUUCAUCUCAGUCUCAUUGCUUCCUUCCACUUUCACAGUAGGGGCAAGGAGUCCUUCGAACGGUAGCCUUCAUAGGACAGUGUAGCUGUAAAUGGAUGGUCCUCAUAGUAAAAUGAAGAUCUCAGCGGCAUUAAGGAAAAAAUGAUCUUUAGAGCAACUGGGCCAGACCCAGAAUUAGGAGAUUAGAGGAUUCGGUUCCAGUUCUUUCUCUCUAGUAUGACACACCCUGAAAAACCACUCAGAAAAUUAAAGCAUAAAUUGGUUUAUACUUAAAAAAAAAAAAUCCUCUUGAGAAAUACAGUGGGCCAAUGACAUUCCACCCAAGUACCAAGAUAAAACUUGGCACAUUCAUUCAUUCCACAAAUACUUACUGACACCUGCUACCUACCAGACACUGUCUUAGGUGCUAUAUUCCUAGCAGCUACCUUGGCGAAACUUGCUUACUAGAGACAGGA